UACAGAGGGUGCGAGCGUUGUUCGGAAUUAUUGGGCGUAAAGGGCGCGUAGGCGGUGCGGUAAGUCACCUGUGAAAUCUCCCGGCUCAACUGGGAGGGUGCGCCGAAGACUGGGAUGCUGGAGUCUCGGAGAGGAACGCGGAAUUCCUGGUGUAGCGGUGAAAUGCGUAGAUAUCAGGAGGAACACCAGUGGUGUAGACGGCGUUCUGGACGAGUACUGACGCUGAGAUACGAAAGCGUGGGGAGCAAACAGG
rnacentral:rRNA from 1 species